GGCGGCGCUGAGGGCGAGGGAGCCGCGCUCUCCGCCCGCCAUCGCUCAGGGAAUCACAGCAAUGAAGACACUGGACCCAUUAAAAACCCCUCACCUUCCAGGCUCUGCAGACUUUGGGUUUCAGAAACAAAGGAAACGACCUCAAUUCACAGAACAUUCAGCCAUGCUCACUUGGCAAACUGCCAGUAAGGAGUAGCAUGUGAAACUCUCAGCAAGAUCUUUGGAUAUGACUGGAUUUAGCAAACAGUACCAAUGUGUGCUAUCAGCUUCCAACAUUUCUGUUCUUCCAAACCUUUAUCAAAUCUUGCAUUGAAGAAACCAGAAGCUGUCCAUGAGAAGUGAGAAGCUACAGACUCCAUCUUUGCUAAAUCUAGGUUGCACAGGACCAGAAGUUAUGUAAAACAGCUGGACUGAAAUACAACAUUCUGUUCAGAAGACUGAAUGGCCUGAAGCAUAAUUCCAGUGUAUUCUGAUGGAGAUGUCACUUCUCAGGCACGGUGAUUUAUUGCAUCAGAAGCCCCCCAGAGAAGCCUGGCAGGGAGAGGAGUCUUCCAUGGGGCACUUCCAGGAGCAGCAGCAGUGCCGGUCCCGUGCCCACUGGGUGGCACUGCAAGCAGGCCCAUGGCACCUCCCUGUCACAGGCAAUCCAGGUACUGCACAGUUCACUCACUUGUUUCUCUGAAUUUAUCUCUACAAAGUCUUGUAUCAAGCCCCAGCUUCCUUGUACAGGUACACAGCUGUGGCUCUGAAGCACAGACAAACCUUCAGUAAAUGCCUGAGACAGAACACCAGGGCUUGAGGUCCUGAGGGAGAGACCUGACCACCAGGCAUGGUCAUCUGUUCUUGCCUCCUGUCACUCCAAGUCAUCCCACACACAUCACCACAGACUCACUUCUUCCAGAAACCAAGUGGGCCCAUUUAAACCUGAAUAUUCACACUAGUGGGGACAUAGCAUUUUUCAUAAGACAGAAUUUAGGAUCCUAAGAGUCUUCAAACUCAUCUGUUUAGUGAUAAUACACUGGGCAAACACUGAAGGCAUCUUAAGAAAAAAAUCAAUUUUGGUAUCAAAACAAAGUAUUAAAUGAAAAAAAACCCCUCAUUUAGGGUUGGAUCAAACAUACCUGCUCU